rnacentral:lncRNA from 1 species
UAAUUUGCAUCGACAUUGAGACACCACAACAAACUGUAAACAAACCGCAAAUUGAAAGACUUGCUUUUAUUUUCCAAAAGUUGUCACAAUGAUAUUCCAUGUUACAAUAGCUCCAGAUGAAGGCGGUUUCAGAAAGACGGAAAAGAUACAACACCAACUCAAUAUCUUAUCAACCAAAAAUCUACCACCCAAAAGAUUACAAAGCCGUGAUCCUAUAGCAUCCUGCAGUAAAUAAUUUCUGUAGUGCUGAUCUGAUUUUAAUUUAAACAGCACCAGGAACUUGAGUCUCUACUGAUUUCAAAACCUCUUCGCCCAUCUCCUAGCAUCCUACUAAUUUCUGUAGAAGCAAGUAAGAGAGUGAAGUUGUCAAAUGGCAGUUUCACUCGCGAUUGUGGUGGAUUGCGAAUGGUUGCAACUCGGUCGAUGAAGGAAAGGGGAACAAGGCGAACGAAAGAACAGCUGCCUUCUUACAGCUCAAUAUAAUGAAUAAAUGGAUUCUACUUUCCAAUACAGCCUUCUUCUUCCUCAUUCUUUAACCCAGUUGAAAAUGCUAGUGCUAACUAAUAACAAAAACAUAUUUCAAUUUUAAUUUGAUUUUCUAAUUUGCAUCGACAUUGAGACACCACAACAAACUGUAAACAAAGUGCAAAUUAAAAGACUUGCUUUUAUUUUCCAAAAGUUGUCACAAUGAUAUUCCAUGUUACAAUAGCUCCAGAUGAAGGCGGUUUCAGAAAGACGGAAAAGAUACAACACCAACUCAAUAUCUUAGCUCCAGAUGAAGGCGGUUUCCCAGAUGAAGGCGGUUUCAGAAAGACGGAAAAGAUACAACACCAACUCAAUAUCUUAUCAACCAAAAAUCUACCACCCAAAAGAUUACAAAGCCGUGAUCCUAUAGCAUCCUGCAGUAAAUAAUUUCUGUAGUGCUGAUCUGAUUUUAAUUUAAACAGCACCAGGAACUUGAGUCUCUACUGAUUUCAAAACCUCUUCGCC